UACGUAGGGGGCAAGCGUUGUCCGGAAUCAUUGGGCGUAAAGCGCGUGUAGGCGGCCCGAUAAGUCCGCUGUGAAAGUCCAGGGCUCAACCCUGGAAUGCCGGUGGAUACUGUCGGGCUCGAGUCCGGAAGAGGCGAGUGGAAAUUCCUGGUGUAGCGGUGAAAGUGACGCAGAUAUCAGGAGGAACACCGAUGGCGAAGGCAGCUCGCUGGGACGG
rnacentral:rRNA from 1 species